rnacentral:rRNA from 1 species
UACGGAGGGGGCUAGCGUUGUUCGGAAUUACUGGGCGUAAAGCGCACGUAGGCGGCUUUGUAAGUUAGAGGUGAAAGCCCGGGGCUCAACCCCGGAACUGCCUUUAAGACUGCAUCGCUUGAACGUCGGAGAGGUGAGUGGAAUUCCGAGUGUAGAGGUGAAAUUCGUAGAUGUUCGGAAGAACACCAGUGGCGAAGGCGGCUCACUGGACGACUGUUGACGCUGAGGUGCGAAAGCGUGGGGAGCAAACAGG